UACGUAGGGUGCGAGCGUUAAUCGGAAUUACUGGGCGUAAAGCGUGCGCAGGCGGUUCUCCAAGUCCGUUGUGAAAGCCCCGGGCUCAACCUGGGAAUGGCAGUGGAAACUAGGGGACUUGAAUCUGGCAGAGGGGGGUGGAAUUCCACGUGUAGCAGUGAAAUGCGUAGAGAUGUGGAGGAACACCGAUGGCGAAGGCACUCUACUGGGCUAUACUGACACUCAGAGACGAAAGCUAGGGGAGACAAAUGGGAUUAGGAUAACCCUGAGAUAGUUCC
rnacentral:rRNA from 1 species